CACCUCUCAGGGUCGCACCUGGGGAGUUUCCAGUACUCUACCAGUUUCGACUAUAUGGGAGGGAGAGUCAAGCAGAAGCAUACCCAUUCCAUUACUAGCUUGGGCAGUGGCUAGCAAGUGGAAGACAAUCUGCUACAAGU